rnacentral:lncRNA from 1 species
GCCUGCUGCCUGGCCAGUCUGGGCCACUGUGUGAGGCACUGGCAGCCUAUGCUGCUGAAUGCCAGGCUGCGGGGGGCACCGUGCAUCCCUGGAGGAGCGAGAAACUUUGCCCACUCACCUGCCCACCUAACAGCCACUAUGAGCUAUGCUCCUAUGGAUGCCCGCUGUCCUGUGGAGACCUGCCAGUGCCUGGAGGCUGUGGCUCAGAGUGCCGGGAGAGCUGCGUCUGUGACGAGGGCUUUGCCCUCAGUGGUGAGUCUUGUGUGCCUCUGGCCUCCUGCGGCUGUGUAUACCAGGGCGCCUACCACUCGCCGGGAGAAACCUUCUAUCCUGGGCCUGGAUGCGAGUCUCUUUGCCACUGCGAGGAAGGUGGCCUGGUUUCCUGCGAGCCCUCAUCCUGCGGCCCACAUGAGGCCUGCCAACCGUCCAAUGGAGUCCUGGGGUGUGUGGCCGUGGGCACUACCACCUGCCAGGCAUCAGGAGAUCCUCAUUACAUCACCUUUGACGGCCGCCGCUUUGACUUCAUGGGCACCUGUGUGUACGUGCUAGCGCAAACCUGUGGGACCCGGCCUGGACUACAC